rnacentral:rRNA from 1 species
CCUACGGGUGGCAGCAGUGAGGAAUAUUGGUCAAUGGGCGAGAUACUGAACCAGCCAAGCCGCGUGAGGGAAGACGGCCCUAUGUGUUGUAAACCUCUUUUGUCAGGGAACAAAACCCGGGACGUGUCCCGGACUGCGUGUAUCCGAAGAAAAAGCAUCGGCUAACUCCGUGCCAGCAGCCGCGGUAAUACGGAGGAUGCGAGCGUUAUCCGGAUUUCUUGGGUUUAAAGGGUGCGUAGGCGGUCCGUUAAGUCAGCGGUAAAAGUGCGGGGCUCAACCCCGUCGAGCCGUUGAAACUGGCAGACUCGAGUUGGCGAGAAGUACGCGGAAUGCGCGGUGUAGCGGUGAAAUGCAUAGAUAUCGCGCAGAACUCCGAUUGCGAAGGCAGCGUACCGGCGCCAGACUGACGCUGAGGCACGAAAGCGUGGGGAUCGAACAGGAUUAGAUACCCCUGUAGUC